rnacentral:rRNA from 1 species
GGAGGCAGCAGGCACGCAAAUUACCCAAUCCCGGCUCGGGGAGGUAGUGACGAAAAAUAACAAUACGGGACUCAUCCGAGGCCCCGUAAUUGGAAUGACUACAAUUUAAAUCCUUUAAGAAGGAUCCAUUGGAGGGCAAGUCUGGUGCCAGCAGCCGCGGUAAUUCCAGCUCCAAUAGCGUAUAUUAAAGUUGCUGCAGUUAAAAAGCUCGUAGUUGGAUCUCAGUUACAGGCAGGUGGUUCACUUUACAGUGCUACUACCUGAACUGAACUUGAUUGCUGGAUCUCUUGGGUGCCCUUCACUGGGUGCCCCUUGAGACCAGAAGGUUUACUUUGAGAAAAUUAGAGUGCUCAAAGCAGGCGAAUGCCUGAAUAGUUGUGCAUGGAAUAAUGAAAUAUGGCCUCGGUACUGUUUUGUUGGUUCACGGUGCUCGAGGUAAUGGUUGAAAGGGACUGACGGGGGCAUUCGUAUUGCGACGUUAGAGGUGAAAUUCUUAGAUCGUCGCAAGACGGACUACUGCGAAAGCAUUUGCCAAGAAUGUCUUCAUUAAUCAAGAACGAAAGUCAGAGGUUCGAAGGCGAUCAGAUACCGCCCUAGUUCUGACCUUAAACGAUGCUAACUGGCGAUCCGGUGGGGGUAUUUAAAUGACCCCCCGGGCAGCUUCUGGGAAACCAAAGUUUUUGGGUUCCGGGGGAAGUAUGGUUGCAAAGCUGGAACUUAAAGGAAUUGACGGAAGGGCACCACCAGGAGUGGAGCCUGUGGCUUAAUUUGACUCAACACGGGAAACCUCACCAGGCCCAGACACUAGAAGGAUUGACAGAUUGAGAGCUCUUUCUUGAUUUGGUGGAUGGUGGUGCAUGGCCGUUCUUAGUUGGUGGAGUGAUUUGUCUGGUUAAUUCCGAUAACGAACGAGACUUUAGCCUACUAAAUAGAUGGCGAAUACUGGUAGGUUCGCAUCAUCUUCUUAGAGGGACAAGGCAGCUUCAAGCUGCAUGAGAAAA